GGUUAAACGGGAAAACGUAAGUACGUAACUAACUACGUAUAAGAAAGAAACUCGCAUGAGAGAAAAUCGAAAGUCGGAGCAAUCUGACACUAUAAGAUGGCUUUGCGGUGCAUUAGCUAGUUGGUAGGGUAAAAGCCUACCAAGGCGACGAUGCAUAGCCGACCUGAGAGGGUGAUCGGCCACAUUGGGACUGAGACACGGCCCAGACUCCUACGGGAGGCAGCAGCG
rnacentral:rRNA from 1 species